rnacentral:rRNA from 1 species
GAACGCUGGCGGUAUGCUUAACACAUGCAAGUCGAACGACCCCUUCGGGGGGAGUGGCGGACGGGUGAGUAACGCGUGAGGAACCACCUCUAGUUCGGGGACAACAGUUGGAAACGACUGCUAAUACCGGAUGAGCCGAGAGGUAAAAGAUUUAUUGACUAGAGAGGUACUCGCGUCUGAUUAGCUAGUUGGUGAGGUAAGAGCUUACCAAGGCAACGAUCAGUAGCUGUUCUGAGAGGAAGAUCAGCCACACUGGGACUGAGACACGGCCCAGACUCCUACGGGAGGCAGCAGUGGGGAAUUUUCCGCAAUGGGCGAAAGCCUGACGGAGCAAUACCGCGUGUGGGAGGAAGGCCCUUGGGUCGUAAACCACUUUUCUUAGGGAAGAAGUUCUGACGGUACCUAAGGAAUAAGCCUCGGCUAACUCCGUGCCAGCAGCCGCGGUAAU